GUGUCAGCCGCCGCGGUAAUACGGAGGGGGCUAGCGUUGUUCGGAAUUACUGGGCGUAAAGCGCGUGCAGGCGGCCUGUUAAGUCGUGCGUGAAAGCUCCCUGGCUCAACCGGGAGAGGUCGUACGAAACUGGCGGGCUAGAGGGCAGUAGAGGCGCGUGGAAUUCCGGGUGUAGUGGUGAAAUGCGUAGAUAUCCGGAGGAACACCAGUGGCGAAGGCGGCGCGCUGGGCUGUACCUGACGCUAAGACGCGAAAGCAUGGGGAGCGAACGGGAUUAGAAACCCCGGUAGUCCAUGCUGUAAACGAUGUGCACUAGGCGUAGGAGAGGUCACACUCUGCUGUGCCGAAGCUAACGCGCUAAGUGCACCGCCUGGGGACUACGGCCGCAAGGCUAAAACUCAAAGGAAUUGACGGGG
rnacentral:rRNA from 1 species